rnacentral:tRNA from 1 species
UAGCUCAGUUGGGAGGGCGUUAGACUGAAGAUCUAAAGGUCCCUGAUUCGAUCCCGGG